UGGGGAAUAUUGGACAAUGGGGGGAACCCUGAUCCAGCCAUGCCGCGUGUGUGAAGAAGGCCUUAUGGUUGUAAAGCACUUUAAGCGAGGAGGAGGGUACUGGUAUUAAUACUACCAGGUACUGGACGUUACUCGCAGAAUAAGCACCGGCUAACUCUGUGCCAGCAGCCGCGGUAAUACAGAGGGUGCGAGCGUUAAUCGGAUUUACUGGGCGUAAAGCGUGCGUAGGCGGCUAAUUGAGUCGGAUGUGAAAUCCCCGGGCUUAACUUGGGAAUUGCAUUCGGUACUGGUUAGCUAGAGUGUGGGAGAGGAUGGUAGAAUUCCAGGUGUAGCGGUGAAAUGCGUAGAGAUCUGGAGGAAUACCGAUGGCGAAGGCAGCCAUCUGGCCUAACACUGACGCUGAGGUACGAAAGCAUGGGGAGCAAACAGG
rnacentral:rRNA from 1 species